CUGGGAUUAGAUACCCCACUAUGCCUAGCCUUAAACACAAAUAGUUAUGCAAACAAAACUAUUCGCCAGAGUACUACCGGCAAUAGCUUAAAACUCAAAGGACUUGGCGGUGCUUUAUACCCUUCUAGAGGAGCCUGUUCUAUAAUCGAUAAACCCCGAUAAACCUCACCAUUCCUUGCUAAUACAGUCUAUAUACCGCCAUCUUCAGCGAACCCUAAAAAGGUACAAAAGUAAGCACAAUCAUAAUACAUAAAGACGUUAGGUCAAGGUGUAACCUAUGGAACGGAAAGAAAUGGGCUACAUUUUCUAAUCUAAGAAAAUCCAACACGAAAGUUAUUAUGAAAUUAAUAACCAAAGGAGGAUUUAGCAGUAAACUAAGAAUAGAGUGCUUAGUUGAACUAGGCCAUGAAGCACGCACACACCGCCCGUCACCCUCCUCAAGUAGGCACAGUACACUCAAAUUUAUUUACACGUAUUAAUCAUAUGAGAGGAGAUAAGUCGUAACAAGGUAAGCAUACUG
rnacentral:rRNA from 1 species